AAGUCAAUAGAGAGUGGUGAACAGCAGAUAGAAUAUUCAAAGUGGCAGAAUGUUAGCCCAAAAAUACCUUACCAAUGCUGUUCAUUUACCUUCCUUUUAUAAAUGAGUUGUUGAUACUCGUUUGUAACAGUUAGGCAUGUGGAUCUCGCUUAUUCUGGUACUAUGUGAUCGUGGGAUGGACAGUUAAUGUCCACUGAUGAUCAUGGUAC
rnacentral:lncRNA from 1 species